rnacentral:rRNA from 1 species
UACAGAGGUCUCAAGCGUUGUUCGGAUUCAUUGGGCGUAAAGGGUGCGUAGGCGGCGCGGUAAGUCGGGUGUGAAAUCUUGGAGCUUAACUCCGAAACUGCAUUCGAUACUGCCGUGCUUGAGGACUGGAGAGGAGACUGGAAUUUACGGUGUAGCGGUGAAAUGCGUAGAUAUCGUAAGGAAGACCAGUGGCGAAGGCGGCGAUCUGGGUCGAUACUGACGCUGAGGUGCGAAAGCGUGGGGAGCAAACAGG